rnacentral:rRNA from 1 species
CCAAUAGCGUAUAUUAAAGUUGUUGCAGUUAAAAAGCUCGUAGUUGAACUUCGGGGUUCACCCAUUGGUCAGGCUUAAUUGUCUGCACUGGUGAGAUGAGUCUCUACCUUCUGAGGAACUUUCAUGCCAUUUAUUUGGUGUGAUUGGAAAUCAGGACUGUUACUUUGAAAAAAUUAGAGUGUUUAAAGCAGGCUAACGUCUGAAUACAUUAGCAUGGAAUAAUGAAAUAGGACGGACUGAUUCUAUUUCGUUGGUUUCUAGGAUCACCGUAAUGAUUAAUAGGGAUAGUUGGGGGCAUUAGUAUUCAAUUGUCAGAGGUGAAAUUCUUGGAUUUAUUGAAGACUAACUACUGCGAAAGCAUUUGCCAAGGAUGUUUUCAUUAAUCAAGAACGAAAGUUAGGGGAUCGAAGACGAUCAGAUACCGUCGUAGUCUUAACCAUAAACUAUGCCGACUAGGGAUCGGACGAAGUUAAUUUUAUAAUGACGCGUUCGGCACCUUACG